CUGACCCUCCCCCGUUCAUGCUCUGUCUCUCUCUGUCUCAAAAAUAAAUAAAACGUUAAAAAGAAAAUUACAAAAAAUGUUUUUUAAUCAUUGAAAUAUAUGGAGGAAAUAUAAAAUAUUUCUUAAGCAAGUAGUAUAAGAGAGAUGAAUUAGAACACAGUGUCUGGAAGAUAAUGAAAUAUUUACAAUGUUAAGAGGCUUUAUGGCUUACCCAGUGAAUACUAGAAUUUUUCAUUUAAAUGUUGAUUUUUCUAUUUUAAUGACCACAAGAAAAAUGGCACCGCUUGAGCUGUCAUAUGUUUAUCUUCAGUGCUUUUCUAAUUAUGUCCUUCUGGAUUACUGGCUUUGGUGCCACAGACCAACUGCUCUAUGUUUAUGUUUUGGACCAAUGGCAUAAGUUGAACAUUUUGUUAGGUCGGAGAAUCCUUUUUGUUUGCGUCCAAAAUGAAAUAUUUAUAAAAUAUAUUAGUGUGUUUUCCUAUCUUGACAAGUUCAGCUAUGUCAAUAUAAUUUGAUUUUUGAUGACUUCUUAAUCUUCAGAAUUGUCUGAUAAUUGGUACUUUGGAUACCAGUAUUCUUCACGUUAUAGCUUACAUCUCAAAAUUUAAACAAACUGUAGUGAAUAUGCAUGUGUAACAUAGAGAAUUUGGGGACCAAAUCUCUAAUAGGAGCUUGUCAUUUUCAAGUAGAAAACAGAAGAAGGAAAUGACUUUUGGUUGCAUCCUGAGAGCACUGAGGUUUUAUCGUUCCUAGCUUAUUCUAAUGUUAUUUCUCUCAUUUCUAGGAGUUCCCAUCAUUCUGAGAAUACCUGUAUAUACCACAUGAAGAAUAUAAUAUCCUGUGACUUUACACUUUGUUUACAGAGGAUAUAUAUGAGUAUGCUGUUAAUGUAAAUUGUUUGGCCUUUGCUGUAUCCACUGUUACUGUUUUGCUGCCAAAAUGUGAGAAAUUAUCUUCUAUUCCUCCUACAUAUUGUACAAGUGUUAAAAAAGUGGUCCAUUUCUAGUACCAGAUAAUUCAUCACAUCUCUUGUCUACUUUUUAAGAAUCAGUAUAAAGAAAAACAAUACAUUAGGAUAAGGUUUGCAUAUAUGUAUAUGUGUUUUUACUGACACUUGGGCACUUGUAGCCUUGUGUGGGCCUCUUCCUGUCUGAUUUACUAAUCGGCUACGAUGCUGCCAUGGAGAUGAUACUGUUUACUCUCUCCUGCUUUGUCCUAAACGGUAUUUGAGAAAUGAAGCCUGUGAAUUUCCCUUUGUGAUGAUAAUACAGUGAACUCAGCAGUAUCUUGGAUAAUUGAGCUGACCAUCUUGUCCCCACCCCUGUUUUGUCUACACAGUGAAUCAGAAGUCUUGUCCAGGUCUGCUUCAGUGUUUGCUAUUUUAUAUUGAUAUUCGAGCAUUUUGUUUUCUGUGAGCAACGUUCUUUGAUGCUGUGUGUGGCCCUUUUGGUUGAAUCUCUCCAAAUGUGGGUCAGCUGCUGCCACCUGGCAGAUAACAGAUGAUGUUGGCAGGAUAAUAGAAUAUGAGCAUUUGGGAGUUCCAUCAAGUGGACUCAAGUAAAUUCCUAUUAUUGAUAACAGGUAAUACUGUGUGGACUAGAUAACAAGAUGAGAGACAUUAGCCAGCAAAUGUCAACACCGGACAACACUUGUCAACUUAUCACAAUUCUAAUCAGUGAACUGAUGUUUGAGUUUCUCUCAUUUCUCCUAAAAGGAAAUACUCUAUUAGAGAUCAAAAAGUCUGAUCUGGUUCCUGAAAUCUAAUGUAAUUUGACCCUGAUUCCUUGACACUAAAAAUUAUGUUGCCUGGGUAUUAGGUUGAAGAUAUAAAUGGACAUAUAAGAGUUUCCAUUAAUAGAGAACUCCAUGUGGCAAAGUGCAAAUAUAACCAUUUCUCAGUAGAAAGUUAAUAAUAUUUAAUAUGUAUUUAUGUUUUGGAGAAUUAAUGUGCCAUCUUAGAUAAAAAUAAAAGGCUAACCAAUCAUAAGAACACUGUAACUAUAGCUGGCUGUGUUUUUAAACUACUAAAACCAUACUUGUUUAUAAGAGCAGAAUAUGUGAAAUCUUGAUGUUUGUCAAUAUUUACUGUUGCUUAAAAGAUAAAUUCAUGUAACUAUUUUGGACGAUGUAUAUUAAUUUAAAUGCCCCCCAGAAAAAUUAUAGCUGUCAAUGUGAAAAUCAUUUGUGUGUGUUAAUACUCAGCUGAGAGAGACCAAAAGUGUAGUGUAAUGUUAAAUCUCUGAAAAAAACAGUAGUACUCAAAGUGAAAUUCCAUUUAUGAAUGUAUCAAUAUUAGAAUCUAAAUUUAUAUCUUUUCAUGAUGUCUAUAUAUGAAAGUCAUAAAAUGGUUUAUUCAAGAAAGUCCCCAUCCUCCAGAAAUUGACCUACCAAUAAAAUUUUAUUUCCUAGAAAAAAAGAUGGAAUAUUAGGAUUUAAAUAAGGAUAGAUCAAGAUUUUGGAAUUAUAUACACUUCUCUCAUUUUGAAUUUGACUUUUGAAUGAAGGAAGGAAGGAAAUUCGACGGAUGACUUUGUUUUACCCUCAAAAAAUUUUAAGUAUGAUUUUUUGCAUUUCAUUUUCCAUAAUAAACAUAAUAGAGAUUCAAA